AAUGCAAAUUUAAACCUCCUAAACAGAAACCCAAAGACCAAAGGGCAUCUGCAGCUGAAAUAAAGAAACAUGAAAGGAAUGAACUUGCUUUCAGCGCUCAUGAGAAAAAUACCAAUACCUAUAAGAAUAAGAGUAUGGUAUGGUUCAUUUACUCUGGAACAUUGGAUCACAUGACAAAUUAAAGAAAUAUGUUUAAUGAAUUGACCGAACUAGAGAAUCCAAUUAUGGUAAAAACAGUGAAAGAAGGUGCGUCAAUUUCAGCCACACAUGUAGGCAAAAUA